AACCAGACUCCUACGGGAGGCAGCAGUGGGGAAUAUUGCACAAUGGGGGAAACCCUGAUGCAGCGACGCCGCGUGAAGGAAGAAGUAUCUCGGUAUGUAAACUUCUAUCAGCAGGGAAGAAAACAGACGGUACCUGACUAAGAAGCCCCGGCUAACUACGUGCCAGCAGCCGCGGUAAUACGUAGGGGGCAAGCGUUAUCCGGAUUUACUGGGUGUAAAGGGAGCGUAGACGGCAUAGCAAGUCUGAAGUGAAAGCCCAGGGCUCAACCAUGGGACUGCUUUGGAAACUGUUAAGCUAGAGUGCUGGAGAGGUAAGCGGAAUUCCUAGUGUAGCGGUGAAAUGCGUAGAUAUUAGGAAGAACACCAGUGGCGAAGGCGGCUUACUGGACAGUAACUGACGUUGAGGCUCGAAAGCGUGGGGAGCAAACAGGAUUAGAUCCCCCAGUA
rnacentral:rRNA from 1 species